GACGAACGCUGGCGGCGUGCCUAAUACAUGCAAGUCGAACGCUUUGAUUUUCACCGGAGCUUGCUCCACCGAAAAUCAAAGAGUGGCGGACGGGUGAGUAACACGUGGGCAACCUGCCCAACAGAGGGGGAUAACACUUGGAAACAGGUGCUAAUACCGUAUAAUUUGUUUUUCCGCAUGGAAGAAUAAUAAAAGACGCUUCGGUGUCACUGUUGGAUGCGCCCGCGCUGCAUUAGUUAGUUGGUGGGGUAACGGCCUACCAAGACCAUGAUGCAUAGCCGACCUGAGAGGGUGAUCGACCACACUGGGACUGAGACACGGCCCAGACUCCUACGGGAGGCAGCAGUAGGGAAUCUUCGGCAAUGGACGAAAGUCUGACCGAGCAACGCCGCGUGAGUGAAGAAGGUUUUCGGAUCGUAAAACUCUGUUGUUAGAGAAGAACAAGUGAGAGAGUUACUGUUCUCACCUUGACGGUAUCUAACCAGAAAGCCACGGCUAACUACGUGCCAGCAGCCGCGGUAAUACGUAGGUGGCAAGCGUUGUCCGGAUUUAUUGGGCGUAAAGCGAGCGCAGGCGGUUUCUUAAGUCUGAUGUGAAAGCCCUCGGCUCAACCGAGGAAGGUCAUUGGAAACUGGGGAACUUGAGUGCAGAAGAGGAGAGUGGAAUUCCAUGUGUAGCGGUGAAAUGCGUAGAUAUAUGGAGGGACACCAGUGGCGAAGGCGACUCUCUGGUCUGUAACUGACGCUGAGGCUCGAAAGCGUGGGGAGCAAACAGG
rnacentral:rRNA from 1 species